rnacentral:rRNA from 1 species
GUAGGUGGCAAGCGUUAUCCGGGAAUUAUUGGGCGUAAAGCGCGCGUAGGCGGUUUUUUAAGUCUGAUGUGAAAGCCCACGGGCUCAACCGUGGGAGGGUCAUUGGAAACUGGAAAACUUGAGUGCAGAAGAGGAAAGUGGAAUUCCAUGUGUAGCGGUGAAAUGCGCAGAGAUAUGGAGGAACACCAGUGGCGAAGGCGACUUUCUGGUCUGUAACUGACGCUGAUGUGCGAAAGCGUGGGGAUCAAACAGGAUUAGAUACCCUGGUAGUCCACGCCGUAAACGAUGAGUGCUAAGUGUUAGGGGGUUUCCGCCCCUUAGUGCUGCAGCUAACGCAUUAAGCACUCCGCCUGGGGAGUACGACCGCAAGGUUG